rnacentral:rRNA from 1 species
GGGGAGCGGUGCUUACCUGCAGUCGAGCGAGAAAUGGCUUCGGCCAUGAGUAGAGCGACGGACGGGUGAGUAAUACAUGGAUAAUCUGCCUUUAGGACCGGGACAACCCAGGGAAACUUGGGCUAAUACCGGAUAAGACCACAGAAUCUCCGGAUUCAGCGGUAAAAGGUGGCUUCGGCUAUCACCUAUAGAUGAGUCCAUGUCCCAUCAGGUAGUUGGUGAGGUAACGGCCCACCAAGCCAAAGACGGGUAGCCGACCUUAGCGGGUGAUCGGCCACACGGGGACUGAGACACGGCCCCGACUCCUACGGGAGGCAGCAGUGGGGAAUAUUGGACAAUGGGCGCAAGCCUGAUCCAGCAAUACCGCGUGAGGGAUGAAGGCUUUCGAGUCGUAAACCUCUGUCAGUUGGAACGAUGGGUCUGUAGGUUAAUACCCUGCAGACUUGACGGUACCUUCAAAGGAAGCCCCGGCUAACUCCGUGCCAGCAGCCGCGGUAAUACGGAGGGGGCAAGCGUUGCUCGGAAUUACUGGGCGUAAAGGGUCCGCAGGUGGCUUUGUAAGUUAGAUGUGAAAUCUCAGGGCUCAACCCUGAAACUGCAUCUAAUACUGCAUAGCUUGAGUACAGGAGAGGUUGGCAGAAUUCCCGGUGUAGCGGUGAAAUGCGUAGAUAUCGGGAGGAAUACCAGUGGCGAAGGCGGCCAACUGGCCUGUUACUGACACUCAGGGACGAAAGCGUGGGUAGCGAACGGGAUUAGAUACCCCGGUAGUCCACGCCCUAAACGAUGGAUGCUAGGUGUGGGGAUGAAAAUCUCUGUGCCGUAGUUAACGCAUUAAGCAUCC